ACUAUUCAGACCGUUCCGAGCUGUACGUGGCACCGACUGUCGAUCUUGUGCAAAAGCGUAUAUACAACUAAUACAAAUAUGUCAGAUGCAGAACGGACUACUAGGAACGCUGCAACUGGUGGUUUAAUAGCGGGUGCCUACACUGGGGCGGCAAUCGGCGGAAUGGUCGGGGGGCCGGCAGGAGCGGUCAUUGGGGGCAUUUGGGGAGCCGGGCUGGGCACAAUAACGGUCGGGACUACGGCCGCCCUCAUCACGGGCCAUCGUGGCUAACAAUUGACAAAGGAUAUUGCUCUGCAAAUUUUGGAACAGUAAAUUGUAAACUGAAAUACAGUCAAAACCAUAUUAUUUAACUGUCAAAAUUGUGUAAAAAGUAUAACAGACGGUAGAUGUCAUAUACU